AUCCAACUGACGAGUCCAAAAUAGGACGAAACACACGUCCUGAAC
rnacentral:hammerhead_ribozyme from 1 species